UGGGGAAUCUUGGACAAUGGGGGCAACCCUGAUCCAGCCAUGCCGCGUGGGUGAAGAAGGCCUUAGGGUUGUAAAGCCCUUUCAGUCGUGACGAUGAUGACGGUAGCGACAGAAGAAGCCCCGGCUAACUCCGUGCCAGCAGCCGCGGUAAUACGGAGGGGGCAAGCGUUGUUCGGAUUUACUGGGCGUAAAGGGCGCGUAGGCGGACGGUCAAGUCAGAGGUGAAAGGCCCGGGCUCAACCUGGGACGUGCCUUUGAAACUGAUUGUCUUGAGUGCGGAAGAGGGUGACGGAAUUCCCAGUGUAGAGGUGAAAUUCGUAGAUAUUGGGAAGAACACCGGUGGCGAAAGCGCUCUACUGGGCCAUGACUGACACUCAGAGACGAAAGCUAAGGUAGCGAAUGGGAUUAGAUACCCCUGUAGUCC
rnacentral:rRNA from 1 species